UGUGGUCUGUCUGUAUUGAGAGUUGGGGAGAUGUUGACUGAGCGGGCAGUAAAAGAUCGACUUGUACUGCAUCCUUGCCUCCGUGUAUUAUUGGUGAAACAACCAGUAAGCAACCCACGGUUAGUGACAACACUACAACAGUGUAUCAGAGCAUAAAGCCACAACAUGGUGUCAGAAGACGGAGUUACGGAGUAAGUCAAGGACAGUAUUCAACGCGUGUUGACCGAAGAUAAGCGGCAAGCUAACGGGAGCUAACACAGCCGACAUGGAGCAGUUCAGGCCACCGUCUCCGCUGAUAAUCACGGGGAACCUCGCUGAAAACUGGCGCAGGUGGGAGCAGCGUUUCCAGCUCUAUAUGGUUGCUUCUGGCGCGGUGGAUAAAAAUGAGGGGGUUAAAAUUGCCAUCCUGCUCCACACUGUCGGCGAAGAGGCGCUGGAAGUGUAUAAUACACUUGCCAUUACCCCAGAAGGGGAGGAAGCAACGAUGGAGGAAGUUUUGGAAGCAUUCAGAGGCUACUGCAGUCCACAAAAGAACGUUGUUUUUGAACGCCAUCAGUUUUGGUCACACACAAUGUCAUCAGGAAUAUCGGUGGACAGAUUCAUCACAGAACUACGUCAGAAGAGCAAGAACUGUGAGUUUGGAAGACAUGAAGAUGACAUGAUAAGGGAUAAAUUGGUGUUCAGCAUUAGUGAUACCCAUCUGAAAGAGAGACUGUUACGUGAUAAUGCACUUACUUUACGCAGAGCAAUGGAAACAUGUAGAUCAGCAGAACUCGCCAAGUCACAAAUACAAGCGAUGCAAGCGUCACCUGUUGUCCAUGAUGCCUCAGUGGAUGCGUUAAAUAGAGCAAGAGUGCAAACACGCAGCUGGGACAAGAACAAACCAAGCUACAAGAAGCAGGUAAUGACUGUGUGCCGUAAAUGCGGAAACAAGCACGAGCCUCGUCAAUGCCCAGCUUACGGCGCUGUGUGUCAUAAAUGUGGAAAAAAUAACCACUUUUCAAAGGUGUGUAGGGGUGGCUAUGAGAAAAAUAGCCAUUGUAAGACAAAGACUGUAAACAAUUUAGGAAAAGAAAUGGACUGUUUAUACAUAGGCAUGAUUGGAAAUGGAACCAAGAAAACAGCACACCAAACAAAAGACACUGUAUGGCGCGAAACAGCCACGAUCAGAGGUGUUGCAAUUGACUUCAAGCUGGACACUGGUGCUGACGCUAAUGUGCUGCCCAGGCAGCUAUACCAGCAGCUACCAGGUCCCGUUCGGCUGCGUCCAACAAAGACUAUGUUGAUAGCUUUUGGAGGGGCACGCCUGACAGCAGAUGGUGUUGCAUCUUUAGAAUGCAGAACGUCUAAACGCAAGGCUGUGCUGGACUUCCACGUGAGUAGCCAAGCAGACAAGCCAAUUCUAGGAGGGGAGGCUUGUGAAGAGCUGCAACUGGUGAAGAGGAUGGGGUCGCUCGCGGCAAAGGCUCCACAACAACAACAACCGCCAGCCACCAAAGAGGAGCUACUACUAAGAUAUGCUGAUGUAUUCACAGGAUUGGGGGAAUUUCCUGGAGUUCAUCACAUACACGUCGACCCCAGCGUCACUCCUGUGAUUCACGCAUGCAGGAAUGUACCCCUCUCCAUCAUGGAUGCGCUGAAAGUGACAAUCAAAGACUUACAAAACAGAAAAGUGAUAACACCGGUGAAUGAACCAACAGAAUGGGUGAACAGUCUUGUUGCCACUAAGAAAAAGAACGGGUCGCUGAGGGUGUGUUUGGAUCCUUGCAACCUGAAUGAGGCAGUCAAGCGCCAGCAUUACUCCAUUCCUACUCCUGAAGAUGUGCGCAGCAGACUGGCUGGAAAAUCCAUCUUCUCCAUCUUGGAUGAGAAGGAUGGGUACUGGCAGAUCAAGCUAGAUGAGCCAUCAUCUAAGCUCUGCACCUUCAACACGCCGUGGGGACGCUUUCGCUUCCUCAGGCUACCAUUUGGGAUUAAGUCGGCCAGUGAAGUCUUUCAACAAAAGAAUUGUGAGACCUUCGGCGACAUUCCAGGUGUGUACGUCAUAGCAGACGACAUGAUUAUAGCAGCAUCGUCAGAGCAAGAACAUGAUGAAAUCCUGCAGAAAGUAAUGGAGAGAGCAAAGUCUGCCAAUGUGAAAUUUAACAAAGACAAAAUCCAGUUCAAAGUGAACACAGUAAAAUAUAUGGGACACAUCAUCACGGCAGCAGGACAGAGGGCUGAUGACGCCAAGAUCAAAGCGAUUGUCGACAUGCCGACCCCGGACGACAAACAAAGUCUCCAACGCCUGCUGGGAAUGACAAAAUUCCUGGCGCAGUACAUACCAAAUGAAGCCUCACUCACGGCACCCCUCAGACAGCUGCUAAAGAAGGACGUAGCAUGGCAGUGGUGCCCACACCACAGCGCAGCACUACAGACGCUGAAGUCUACCCUCACACAAGCGCCUGUUCUGAGGUACUACGAUCACAAGCAGCCGCUGACUCUGCAAGCAGAUUCCUCAAAGGAUGGGCUGGGAGCCUGUCUGCUGCAGGAUGGCCACCCGGUGUGCUAUGCAUCAAGAGCGCUCACGGACACUGAAAAAAGAUAUGCGCAAAUCGAGAAAGAGUUACUUGCCAUAGUGUUUGCUGCUAAAAGGUUUCACCAGUAUGUUUACGGAAGAACAGUAACAGUGCAGUCUGAUCACAAACCUUUGGAGGUCAUUGUGCGCAAACCACUGAGCAAAGCGCCAGCACGGCUGCAAGGGAUGCUUCUACAACUACAGAGGUAUGAUUUGAAUGUGACAUAUACACCAGGCAAACACAUGUACAUCGCGGACACGCUCUCACGCGCCACAGCGUGCAAUGACAGUGGCAAUCUCAAUGAGAACCCUUGUGAUGAGAGAGUUGUGUAUGCCUUGGAAGCCACAGACGCGUUGAGUAACGAAACACUUAGCCAGCUGAAAUCAGCAACGGCAGCAGAUGGCGUGUUACAAGCUGUAUGUGAGAGACACUUGAAGGGUUGGCCCAUGAAAAAGAAAAGUCUGGACAGUAAACUACACAGUUACUGGCCAAUGAGGGACAAUAUCAGCAUCGUGAAUGACAUUGUGAUGGUCGGAGACAAAAUCAUAAUACCCGAGUGCUUCAAGAGAGUGAUUUUGGAGAAGCUGCACCUUGCACACCAAGGCGUGCAGCGUACUAAAGCUAAAGCGAGAAAAGUCCUGUACUGGCCUGGCAUGACACGAGACAUAGAGACAAUGGUGGAAAAAUGUGUGCAGUGCCAGCAGCUACAGCCCAGACACCAGGCUGAGCCACUCAUUCCACACCAGGUUCCUGAACUGCCAUGGAUGAAAGUUGGAGCUGACAUCUUCGAGCUGCAUGGUCAGUCAUACCUGCUGUUGGUGGAUUACCUGACAAAAUAUCCAGAAGUGCUCAACCUGACUGAUAAAACAGCUCGCACGGUGAUUCAGAAGAUGAAGUCUGUCUUUGCCAGACAUGGGAUACCUAAGGAGGUAGUGAGUGAUCAUGUCCCAUUCGCCAGCUAUGAGAUGCAGUCAUUUGCAGCUUCAUGGGAGUUCAAGCUCACACACUCCAGCCCAGGUUUUCCCUCUUCAAAUGGAAUGGCGGAGCGGGCCAUAAAGACGGUAAAACACGCGCUGAAGAAAGCAGUGCAGACUGGCACUGACCCACAUCUAGUGUUGCUGUCGCUGAGAAACACACCGGUGACAGGACUAAACCUGACGCCUGCACAAAUGUUGGUGGGUAGAGUCCUGCGCAGCACACUUCCAUGUUCCAGUGCUGUGCUGAAACAGUCAUCCCCACAGCAUAUUCUCGAAAGAAUACAGGACUUGCAGUCCCGGCAAAAGCAACACUACGACCAGCGUGCAAAGCAACUGCCAGUGCUGACCCCAGGAGACACGGUGCACAUGCAGACGCGACGCGGCUGGGAGCCAGCGGUUGUCAUCAGGCAGCGAGAUGAACCACGCUCCUACACUGUACAGACACCGGCAGGGAGGACACGCAGGAGGAACAGGCGACAUCUGAGAAAGAUACACCCAAGCCUGUUCAAAGACUCUCACCCUGAUGAACAUUUGGACUCUGAGUUUCAACAUACUCAGGCUACUGCAACAGUGGACUCACCACCACUGGAACCGGUACCACGCAACCCUUGUCCUGUGCCUGUGGACAGCAUGCCCACAUGCUAUACCAGGAGUGGCAGAGCAGUUAGGCGCCCUGCCAGGUACACUGAAUGACAAAGUGAUGUUGUUACUCAAUGUUAAGAAAGAAAGUGAUGGAGAAAUUAAAGUGUGGAUGUUUUGUGUUUAUCGUGAAGUGUUAUAAAAUGUUAUAGGUUCGGAAGAAAAAAAAAAAAAAAAGAUUGUUGAAAGCCAUUUGGGUUGUUGAAACAUGAUUUGUUUGUAAUUGAUAUAUGCAUGUCGAAAUUGUGAUCAAUGUUGAUACCAAAGAGUUAAGGUAACCGAUACUAGAUAAGCUACUUCUCAGUUGGAAAAGAGGGAUGUGGUAGAUUGGAAUCGAGCACUCGGUGCUCGACUGUGUGGUCUGUCUGUAUUGAGAGUUGGGGAGAUGUUGACUGAGCGGGCAGUAAAAGAUCGACUUGUACUGCAUCCUUGCCUCCGUGUAUUAUUGGUGAAACAACCAGUAAGCAACCCACGGUGUCUUGGAUUUAUCCUCGUCCUGUCUUAUCCAGGACAACUUCAUGCCCAAAGCCCAGCAGAGUCAUGUGCUGCUCCCCUUCUUGAGGGAGGUUUUAUAGGGCCUGAACUCAGAACCUAUUCGCAUGGAAGCACUCUCGCGUACGCUUGCAGCGCUGGACAGAAACCGGCAGUGGAGGAGGGUUGGUGGGCUACCAGUGUCUGCCUCAAUGGUUUGUGGUCACAUACACCACAAUGCAUUGAUGAAAACACCUGCUUCACACCAGAUAUUCCAAACGCAAAGUACGAUGAAAGUCCCGACGGCUUGUGGUACAAAGAAGGUUCUGUCAUUUGGAUCAAAUGCCACGAAGGAUAUGAACACAAAACCGUGAGAGCGACGGCCACCUGUAGAAAGGGAGUUUGGUCAGCUUUGCCGAGUUGUGAGCGAAGUGACACAUCUUGUAAUGAGCCGCCUCGCAUCCCGCACGCCGUUAUCCUUGGCAAAUACCAGGACGUAUUUGCCGCCGACGUUGAAGUUCGCUAUGAAUGUGAAGACGGAUACAGCGUUGAGGUUGCAACCACCAAGAAGUCCAUCUUUUGUGUUGCUGGGGCUUGGACACGAGCUGCAAGCUGCACAGUGGUCAAACCAGGUCCUGGAGAUGAUGGAGACACAUCUGGUGGCAGUACGAAACCUGUUGAUGGAAACAUAGGAAGGGGACGGGGUGGUGGUGCUACUGGUCCCGAUACUGGUGAUUCUACUGAUACCGCCACUGCUGGUGCCAGAACUGAUGGAUCCUCAGCGACCGGAACACGACCUGUAACCACUUCUGACAAGACUGGGACCCCCAGCUCACCCCUGCUCACAGACGUUGUCAACUGUGGAUCAUACCCAAAAGUUCCAAAUGGUGAUGUUGUGCGGACAAAAAAAAGGUCGUUAAGAUAUGCGUGUAAUGGUUUUUACAAAAGGGUCGGUCCAGAGACCGUGGUGUGCUACGCUAAUGGCACUUGGUCGCAACCACCUACAUGCAAAGAAGCAUUUUGUCAAAUCAACUUGGAUGAGUACACCAGCUACAACUUCCAAGAAUCUGGAACGCUAAUUCUAAAAGAACAAGAAACCAAGAGCGUUCGGUGCACCGGGUAUUAUUACACGUCACAAAUCACGUGCAUACGAGGACAAAUUCGAGUGACCCCGUGCUGCCAUGACUGGAGCCACCAUUACCAAAGGUGCAACUAACUCAUGGUCAUCCCUGGGCAACCUGCCCACGUGAUGGCAACAACAGUAGCUUUACAUGAUUAUGUCAUUAAAAAAAUAGGAACAUUUCCUUUCGAUUGUC